rnacentral:lncRNA from 1 species
UGGUAAUACUUACACUCAAGAUGUGGAGGCGAUACCUGCAUAAGGUAUGAGGACAGAUCCUUACAGAUCGAAAGAGCUUGCAAUACAUCUUGAGUCAAGAGAGGAGAAUCAGAGGCAGAGAAAAGGAGUAAGAGCUGCAUAGUCAGAAAAAAGAGGAAUCAGAACUGCUGUGAGUCAGCAGGAGAGUAUGGAGCCGUCUGCAAGAGGCAUGUAGAGUUUCAGAAGAGAAGAAGAGCUUUUGUCAGAGUGCGCGGCGGAAGCGUGUUUAGGUUCUCGAGGAAGUCGAGGUUUGCUGGAGGUGUCUCCUAAAGAGAGGGUGAUUCGUUAUGGGCGGAAAGGUAAAUUAGCUCUCAGAUACAUUAGACCCUUUGAAAUCCCGCAAAGGAUUUGGGAAUGUAUCCCACGAGUUAGGUUUACCCACUUCAAUGGAAGAGAUCCAUUCGUUUUUCCAUGUUUCCACGAUACAUGAGUUCGUGUCGGGUCUGAGUGAGGUUCUUAAAGGAACCAGAGGUGGAGACCGUAGAGGAUCUCACCUAUGUUGAGCAGCUAGUACGGAC